rnacentral:rRNA from 1 species
UUUCCAGACUCCUACGGAGGCAGCAGUGGGGAAUAUUGCACAAUGGGGGAAACCCUGAUGCAGCGACGCCGCGUGAAGGAUGAAGUAUUUCGGUAUGUAAACUUCUAUCAGCAGGGAAGAAAAUGACGGUACCUGACUAAGAAGCCCCGGCUAACUACGUGCCAGCAGCCGCGGUAAUACGUAGGUGGCAAGCGUUGUCCGGAUUUACUGGGUGUAAAGGGCGUGCAGCCGGGAAGACAAGUCAGAUGUGAAAUCCCGCGGCUCAACCGCGGAACUGCAUUUGAAACUGUUUUUCUUGAGUACCGGAGAGGUCAUCGGAAUUCCUUGUGUAGCGGUGAAAUGCGUAGAUAUAAGGAAGAACACCAGUGGCGAAGGCGGAUGACUGGACGGCAACUGACGGUGAGGCGCGAAAGCGUGGGGAGCAAACAGGAUUAGAUACCCCAGUAU